UGUAGCAUGUGCCAUCGCCACCAAGUGUACUUCAGUGGACAUUUUGUCAGCAUGAAAUCUGAGCACACUUGGUAGCGGUGCCGUGAGCUACU
rnacentral:pre_miRNA from 1 species